AUGCAUGACAUGGCACAAAAGGUGUCAGAGCAUGACUGCUUAAUCUUAAGAAAUAAGAGUGACUUUGAUAAAGUCCCCCAGAGUGUUCGUCAUCUGCACAUACUCCCUAAUGGUGACAUUGAUUAUUCCAACUUGUUGAGUCUAUGCAAAUUCACGAAGCUGCGUACCCUAAUAUGUGAGAAGAAAUUAGGGAAAAGAUCAGUCUUUGUAAUGGAUCAAUGGGGUACUAAACUUCUGCGUAUGCGUGUUUUUUCUUGUGCCUUCAUAAAUGAGUUACCGGAUAGUAUUGGCAACUGGAAGCAUCUUCGGUACCUUGAAAUCUCCAGAGCUUGUCCUUUGAAGAGGAUUCCUUCAACUUUCUGUUGGUUAUAUAAUCUGCAGACUUUAUAUGCCAAGAAAUGCAAGCUAGAAAGCUUACCCGGUGACUUUGGUAAGUUGAUCAAUUUAGAGAGUUUUUGGCCAUAG
rnacentral:rRNA from 1 species